UGGCUCAGUGGUAGAGUGCUUGCCUUGCAUGCAUGAGGCCCUGGGUUCGAUUCCACAG
rnacentral:tRNA from 1 species